rnacentral:lncRNA from 1 species
UCUGAACGAGUUUGGCUUCUCGUUUUUCAUCCAAUAAUUCGAGGUUAGUAUUCAUAGCCUCGAGAUUUGAUUCUUCCGUUGUAUGUCAACAUCUGGCACUAGGUUCCCCGACUUCAACUGGAAUCAAGGCUUCGGAUCCACAUACUAAGGAGAAUGGGGUUGCCAGCAUACUGGACUUCGAUGUUGUUCGAUAUGCCCAAAGGAUCUCGGGUUGAAUUUCUCUCCAUUUUCCCUUGGCAUCGUUUUAUCGUUUCUUUAGAUUCUGAAUGAUAGUUUUGUUCGUUGACUUGGCCUAUCCAUUUCCACUUGGAUGAUAUGGUGUCGAUAAGAUCCUUUUUAUUUUAUGUUCUUCGAGAAAUUUCGUUACCUUGUUGCCGAUGAGCUACUUUCCAUUGUCGCAUAUGAUUUCGGCAGGUAGGGGUGGUAUUCGG